CCUACGGGACGCAGCAGUGAGGAAUAUUGGUCAAUGGGAGGAAUCCUGAACCAGCCAUGCCGCGUGCAGGACGACGGCUCUACGAGUUGUAAACUGCUUUUGUACCGGGGUAAAAUGCCUUACGAGUAGGGUUUUGAAAGUACGGUACGAAUAAGGAUCGGCUAACUCCGUGCCAGCAGCCGCGGUAAUACGUAGGGGGCAAGCGUUAUCCGGAUUUACUGGGUGUAAAGGGAGCGUAGACGGAAAGGCAAGUCAGAAGUGAAAACCCAAGGCUCAACCAUGGGACUGCUUUUGAAACUGUCAAA
rnacentral:rRNA from 1 species